AGUGAACGCUGGCGGCGUGCUUAAUACAUGCAAGUCGAACGAUGAAGUCCUAGCUUGCUAGGAUGGAUUAGUGGCGCACGGGUGAGUAAUAUAUAGUUAAUCUGCCUUGCACUGAGGAACAACAGUUGGAAACGAUUGCUAAUACCUCAUACUCCAACUUUACAUAAGUUAAGUUGGGAAAGUCUUUUCGGUGCAAGAUGAGACUAUAUCGUAUCAGCUAGUUGGUAAGGUAAUGGCUUACCAAGGCUAUGACGCGUAACUGGUCUGAGAGGAUGAUCAGUCACAUUGGAACUGAGACACGGUCCAAACUCCUACGGGAGGCAGCAGUAAGGAAUAUUGUGCAAUGGGGGAAACCCUGACGCAGCAACGCCGCGUGGAGGAUGACACUUUUCGGAGCGUGAACUCCUUUUGUUAGGGAAGAAUAAUGACGGUACCUAACGAAUAAGCACCGGCUAACUCCGU
rnacentral:rRNA from 1 species